rnacentral:tRNA from 2 species
UGGGACAUCGGCAAGUGGUAAGCCAACGGCUUUUGGUGCCGUCAUUCCCCAGGUUCGAAUCCUGGUGUCCCAG